CUCGCCAGGGAACAACGAGCCCCAGCUUGAAACCCAAAGGACUUGGCGGUGCUUUAGACCCCCCUAGAGGAGCCUGUCCUAGAACCGAUACCCCCCGUUCAACCUCACCCUUCCUUGUUUAUCCCGCCUAUAUACCGCCGUCGCCAGCUUACCCUGUGAAGGUUUAAUAGUAAGCAAGAUUGACAUAACCUAGAACGUCAGGUCGAGGUGUAGCGCAUGGAGGGGGAAGAGAUGGGCUACAUUUACUGCACCAGUAAACACGGACUCUGCAUUGAAAAAGCACCUGAAGGAGGAUUUAGCAGUAAGGGGGGAGCAGAGCGCCCCCCUGAAAAUGGCCCUGAAGCGCGCACACACCGCCCGUCACUCUCCCCACCCAUUACGCCUAAUAGAUAAUACGAAGUACUAAAAAAUAAGGGGAGGCAAGUCGUAACAUGGUAAGUGUACCGGAAGGUGCACUUGGAAAAACC
rnacentral:rRNA from 1 species